rnacentral:rRNA from 1 species
AAGGGCGGCGUACUCAUAACCGCAGCAGGCCUCCCAGGUGAGCAGCCCCUGGUCGCUCA